UACGGAGGAGGCAAGCGUUAUCCGGAAUUAUUGGGCGUAAAGCGUCCGCAGGUGGCACUUCAAGUCUGUCGUCAAAGACUGGGGCUUAACCCUGGAAAGGCGGUGGAAACUGAAGCGCUAGAGUGCGGUAGGGGUAGAGGGAAUUCCCGGUGUAGCGGUGGAAAUGACGUAGAGAUCGGGAAGAACAUCGGUGGCGAAAGCGCUCUACUGGACCGCAACUGACACUCAGGGACGAAAGCGUAGGGGAGCGAAUGGG
rnacentral:rRNA from 1 species